GGUCUUACAGGUUUCCAUGAAUCGAGAAGCACUGGCUGUGGUUACAGCUCAACUGCAGGAAGGGUACAUAUCCAUCAUGAAGCCCUGAACGCAACUGUCUAGAUGCAUAGUAACAGAUUUUCAGCUUUAUCUAAGGGAACAAAAUCACAUCCAGGAAUAAGGAAGUUCCUGUGGAAGGGCAUUUCUGAAAUUAAGAGGCUUCCUCAUUUGCAGAAUUCAGAUGGUCAUGCUUGGAUGAUGGGCUGUAAGCUGCUUUAAAAAGGUUGGAACAGGAAAGACUUCAGAAGAUCCAGGAGGGAAUUGCAUGUCCCGAAAAAAUCCCAUGAUAAUAAACCUAUAUACAGCAAA